GCCUGGGUGGCUCAGUCGGUUGAGCACCUGACUCUUAGUUUCAGCUCAGGUCGUGAUCUCAGGGUUGUGAGAUCGAGCCCCACAUCAGGCU
rfam:Ailuropoda melanoleuca scaffold283_54, whole genome shotgun sequence.